UUACUUACCUGGCAGGGGAGAUACCAUGAUCACUAAGGUGGUUCUCCAAGGGUGAGGCUCAUCCAUUGCACUCUGGGUGUGCUGACCCCUGUGAUUUCCCCAAAUGUGGGAAACUUGACUGCAUAAAUUGUGGUAGAGGGGGACUGUGUUCGCGCUCUCCCCUG
rnacentral:snRNA from 1 species